rnacentral:sRNA from 1 species
CUGAAACCUCCAAUGACAGCUUGCCGAAAGAUGAUUCAGUUGUUUCUCAACUUGGCCCAUUUCCCACAUCCAAGUCCAAUUGGAGAAUGGCUUUUGACUCCAUUUAUAUGAGCAUCUUUGAUAGAGAGCAAGGGUUUCUGGCAAGGAGGGAUGCCUGCCUUCCACCUCUAAUCCAGCUGUCGUUGACACUCCAGACAGCCCUUUCAAACUUGGGCAACACUUAGUCAUCUUACUGGUAGCCAACGACCAUUUGAAGUGAGAUCUAACAAUAUGAUCGUGUUGCUGCACUGGAUUCCAACGUCUCUGGAAAAAUUGGUCUACGCGCUGUCGUGUAUUAUUUCUGUACCACUCUCAUUGCUGUUAUUCUAGGUAUUGUGCUGGUGGUGAGCAUCAAGCCUGGUGUCACCCAGAAAUUGGGUGAAAUUGCGAGGACAGGCAGCACCCCUGAAGUCAGUACGGUGGAUGCCAUGUUAGAUCUCAUCAG